GGAGGGGUGGCCGAGCGGACGAAGGCGGGGGAUUUGAAAUCCCUUGGGCGGGCUCUCCCCCGCCCCGUGGGUUCGAAUCCCACCCCCUCCGCCU
rnacentral:tRNA from 3 species